CAAGGACUCACCCAGGUGAUCCCAAGGCAGGUAUUGGAAGCAGGCUCCUGUUUGCUCAGUGACUGGGUGCAUUCCCAUUGCUAGUUGGGCCAACGCACUGUCCUGGCUCCUGCUCCAGCCUUACCUCUUUCCGCUGGCCGCCUGGCAACACUGAAACAUCUGAUCCUGCAGAAAUUACUGCCCAUGGUCACUCUCGGCAGACCCUCCCUACUGAAUCGCCAGCACAGUGACCCUGCAUUUUCUUCACAGGUUUCCCAGCCAAGUACUGCCCAGGUCUGGUUCGGUUCAGCUUGCAAGCUCUGAACGGAGCAUGGCUCAGGGUACCACAGCAGCCCCCCUUUGUUUAUCUGGACUUGCAGCAAACAGGGCUGUCUAGGAGCAUCCGUCUGGAGUUACUAACAGCUCGGACAGUUGGGACGGAUUCAUUGCCAUUACCUGGAUGCCUCUUUCGCCCUUCCUUCCAGGGGCUCCACGCUCGGGGCUGCUUCUCCCAGGAUUUCCCUGUGGAGCACGGAGUCAGAGGGGUGUUGCCGGGGGAUCCUGGAGGCCCUGCGAUGCCACGGAGACCCCGGGAGCCUUUCCGCCCCUGGAUCAAGGCAGGAAGAAGAGAUUAGCAGCGCGGAGCCAGCAGGGGAGAACGUCAGAAGGGUCGGGAAGUGCAGGAGGCUAUUGCUGAGUCCACAUUGCCGGGGCACCCGCUUGAAGAUAUGACCACUGGUCGCCAGGAAGUUGUGUGAUCCACCCACAUACCUUGCACCUGCAGAGCGGCUGACAUCUCCUCCAGCUUCUUCACAUCAUCGUCCAACCCGUCCGUAAACAGGAGCAGCACCUGGGGCACAGACACGUUUGGGGCCCAUCAGCCUACAGGCCGCCGCGGAGGAAGCAGGAUCCAGGGCAGAGAUAGCUGGGGUCCCCCAGCCUGGGAGCACACAACACUACCCAGUGGCAGCAAAGCUGCUCUUAUUCUGCCCAAGCCAGAUGCACCUGCUGUGCUGACACCAAAUGCCCCAGGUACCACUGACCCGGGCAGCCAAACAACCCAGGUGAAACCUCUGCUGAGCUCCUGGGAGCCUUCCCCUUUGAAAAAGCGGUGGAACAAUGGGAGCUGAGCAGGGAGCUGGCAGCGAGGGGGUUAAAUGGCCAGAGCCAACCGAGGAAGGGAGCCCGCUGAGCGAGCGUCCUUGCCCUGCAGGAUGUGCCCAUGCAGAGCUGUUGGGCCAGCUGCGGCUCUACCUUGUUACUCUCUGGCAGGCGUUGGCUCAUCUCCAGGUGGCUGCGCAGGGAGGGCUGGUUCAGGUAGGAGCGCCUGAAGGUGUGCGCCACGCGCAGCUGCUGCAAGGUGUCAUGCUGGUACUUGGCGAGGCGGGCUCGGAAUAGGACCUCGCCGCCCUUGUCCACGCUCUGGAUGCUCAGGGUGAGGUUGAGCUGGGCGCAGCUGACCCUGCUCAGGGAGAACAGCUCCCGGAUGGUGCCCUCCAGGUACUGGUGCAGGCUGGACUGUUGGUAAUCAGUGACGUCCAGGCCGAUGAGCAGGUGCAGGGGGCACAGUCCUGCAGGGCAGAACACGGAGACUGAGCCGGCUCCCUGCCUCCUCUCACUCACCACCACCACCCCCUCCACAUCUCCACAGCAGCCCACGGGGUGCGGAAUCUGUUUCCCUCCCACCCUCGCCCAGGGACUCGUGUGCCAAGGUCUCGCCGACCUGCCCAUGGUGUUCAACGGCUUCUCAGGACUCACCCCUGCGUCGGGACCAUUCAGGGCACGUCUGCGCCGCAGCCGGGAGCGUGCCUCCAGCCCAGGCAGACAGACUCAUGCUACAAAUAGCAGUGUGGACGCUGCCGUGCCAGCAGAGGCUCAGCUAGCCCGCCGAGCUCAGAGCUAGCGGAAACACGUUUGGGUGCAUUUUAUUCCUCUGCUAAUGGGUGUCAGUUUCCAAUCAUUGUGCAAUGGAUUUGAUGCUGCGGUCUGGGGUGAGGGGACACAGUACAGGGAGAUUUACCCCGAAGGACAUCUGAAAUGUAUGUAAGUGUACAAAAAUGACUUUUCCAUACACAUCUCAUGUUCCUUGGUCCUUUCUCAAGCUGUAUGGAUGCAAAUGCAACCCUUCACUAGCUCACAUGUGUCUUUUGCUUCAAUGUUGCAGUGAGCUAAUAAAUACUAAUAAUGCUUUGAAUUUAUAUAGCAUCUUUCAGUGGAGAAUCUCAACAUGCUUUCCCAACGUGGUUAAGUAGCUUCUUUAAAAAAGCCUCAUUUAAAAGAUAGGAAAAUGGAUGUACAGAGGUUAAGAUUCAGUUGAGAAUAGAACCCAGGACUCCUGGCUCCUAGUCCCUGGUCUGACCACUAGACCAUUCCCUCCCAGAGCUCGGAGUAGAACCCAGGAGUCCGGACUCCCAGCCUCUUGCCCUAACUGCUAGACCAUCCUACCUCCGUCUUUACUGCACAACCGUCACUUUGUAGAUUGAACACCUUAACAUCACUGAAGGAUCAAAGCGAAAGAGAACCUUG